AGCUUUGCACAGUGGCAGUAUUGCAGCCAAUGAGAUUUAUCCGAGGCGUGAUUAUUGCUAAUUGAAAACUUUUCCCAAUACCCUGCCAUGAUGACUUGAAAUAUAGUCUGUGUUGGCAAUUUUUGGGAGUCUCUACGGAGA
rnacentral:snRNA from 1 species